UUCAAAUUCAACUCAAUCCAAAGCAAUGAGACUCAAGAAGAGAAAAAAACUCUAUUCAAACAGUCCCCGUAGAGCUAGACAGGGAGGUGGUUGUCUUAUUCUUUUCCUACCACCUGAGACAACCUUGUUCCAUUCAAACCACCGCUUUACCGGGAAGCUCCAUGCAACAACUAUGAUUUCCUUGAUUAUUAAUAAGUGUUGGGUUUUCAGCACUAUAUAGUGAAUUUGGGCCAAACGAUUCUCAUAUCGUCCAUACUAGUUUCUCACGUGAGAGGAGGCAAUAAAGAGAAAGCUAUGCACAUUUAGAGUUUGUUGUUAGUCUCGUGAACAAACAUGCUGGUGCAAAGUUUCUUGGGGACUCGUCUCUCUGUGGUUAUUAACCCUUCACAUAUAUAUGUGUCGACCACCCUAUCAAUUGUCUUGGCGGAUGGAUACAAUGAGAUUGCAGAUCCCACUGAGAGAUUUUUACGGAUUAUGCGUGCAACACUGGAUGCACUUAUGUUUGUAUCUGUGUUUACAGUGGUUUCUGGUAAACAACCGCUAGCCUUCCAAAUAGUUAAUUUUACUUUUGGUAACUUACAGGAUCGAUUAGAUUGAUCCUAGGACAUUUGUCUAAGUGUGUAUAUCACGAUGAUUGAAUUCAUAUUUUUGGGUGUUACUUCUAAGAGAAAUACUCUAAUAUAUGGCUUGAUGUAAAAAACAAUAUAAAGUGCAAUGUAAUGAAGUAAAUUGUAGAAAGAAUCGAAAGUAACUUGAUUAUAAAUGUAAAUGACUCGAACUGGAACUAUAAAUGUAUUUAAAUGACUUGUGUUUAUAAAAUAAAGAACAGUG